UGUGAACGUGCCUGGGGACGGGGACAUGCAUAGGCUCAGGCCACCGUGCGGAGAUGGCCGGUGACUUGGACCCCCAGUGGUCGCGGCCGCGCGCCCUACCCAGGUCCAGCGCCUUCUUGGCCUUAAUGAGCCGCGCCAGGUUGGCCAGAAGCUGGGCCUGCUCACAGGUCAUCAUGGACUCUCCCCGCGGCUGCUCCAGCGUCAGCUGUGUGUGUGGUGGGGAGAGGGUCGCACCAGCUCUGCUGUCCCCCCAGGUGGAGGCCCCCCCUCCGCUGGGGUAGCUGUGGGCACCGCCCAGGGGAGCGCCUUCCCAGGGAACGCCCACCGCGCACCGCGCACCGCGCACCGGCCGAGGAGCGCGGAAGCCGAGUGGGUCCCCGCCCAGCCCAAGGUCAUGCAACCACGUGGGACCCGCGGGGCUGGGGUGGGCGCCCGUCCCCGCCCUCGGCCCCGCUGACCAGCCGCAGGCUCCGCAGCGCUGGGUGCUCCCGCAAGGAGCGGCUCAGCAGAAGCCUUCCAACGGUAGACUUCAUGGGGCCCUUUGCGGACUGGCUGAGAACGUGUCCCUGGAGCUUCUCUCCUCCCAUGGAGACCCUGGCCUCACGCCAGAACUUCAUCUGGAGCCCAGAGAGUAGUCCUCCCGGCCCCCACCAGGAGCCCAGUCUCUGCCGCCCGUUCCCAUUGGUUCAGUUUGGGGUCCUCUCCCUCGAGGCAAAGCUGUUCCCGUCCUGACAGGUUCACAAUUGCCACCCUGAAGGGAAAAUCCAAGUUGAAAUGGAUGGAAGCUCUGGGAGAGGCCGAUGCUGUAUCCACUGAGCCAAACCAGCUAGGGCCGUUCUUCUUUUGAACGUGGUACAUGACAUCUGGAGCUGCAGCAGCUACCUCUCCACCACGAGGAAACAGCAGGAGAUGUAAAUAACAAACUAAGCAUGGAAAGCAGCCUCCACAGACUCAGCAUAACUAGAAGUGCACAUCUCCUUAUGAACAGGGUGGGGUGGGG